UGGCUAGUAGAACAAUGGUAGAUUCCCUGUUAAGGAAAAGGUUGUAGGUUCGAGUCCUACUUAGUCAG
rnacentral:tRNA from 1 species